GAUGAACGCUGGCGGCGUGCUUAACACAUGCAAGUCGAACGGUGAAGCUCCAGCUUGCUGGCGUGGAUCAGUGGCGAACGGGUGAGUAACACGUGAGCAACCUGCCCCUGACUCUGGGAUAACAGCCGGAAACGGCUGCUAAUACCGGAUAUGCACCAUGAACGCAUGUUCUGUGGUGGGAAAGAUUUUUCGGUUGGGGAUGGGCUCGCGGCCUAUCAGCUUGUUGGUGAGGUAAUGGCUCACCAAGGCGUCGACGGGUAGCCGGCCUGAGAGGGUGGCCGGCCACACUGGGACUGGGACACGGCCCAGACUCCUACGGGAGGCAGCAGUGGGGAAUAUUGCACAAUGGGCGAAAGCCUGAUGCAGCAACGCCGCGUGGGGGAUGACGGCCUUCGGGUUGUAAACCUCUUUUAGCAGGGAAGAAGCGAGAGUGACGGUACCUGCAGAAAAAGCGCCGGCUAACUACGUG
rnacentral:rRNA from 1 species